rnacentral:rRNA from 1 species
AAAUUGAAGAGUUUGAUCAUGGCUCAGAUUGAACGCUGGCGGCAGGCCUAACACAUGCAAGUCGAACGGUAACAGGAAGCAGCUUGCUGCUUCGCUGACGAGUGGCGGACGGGUGAGUAAUGUCUGGGAAACUGCCUGAUGGAGGGGGAUAACUACUGGAAACGGUGGCUAAUACCGCAUAACGUCGCAAGACCAAAGAGGGGGACCUUCGGGCCUCUUGCCAUCAGAUGUGCCCAGAUGGGAUUAGCUUGUUGGUGAGGUAACGGCUCACCAAGGCGACGAUCCCUAGCUGGUCUGAGAGGAUGACCAGCCACACUGGAACUGAGACACGGUCCAGACUCCUACGGGAGGCAGCAGUGGGGAAUAUUGCACAAUGGGCGCAAGCCUGAUGCAGCCAUGCCGCGUGUAUGAAGAAGGCCUUCGGGUUGUAAAGUACUUUCAGCGGGGAGGAAGGUGUUGUGGUUAAUAACCACAGCAAUUGACGUUACCCGCAGAAGAAGCACCGGCUAACUCCGUGCCAGCAGCCGCGGUAAUACGGAGGGUGC